rnacentral:rRNA from 1 species
UAUGUAUAAUACAUGCAAGUCGAACGAGGCUUCGGCCUAGUGGCGAACGGCUGAGUAACACGUUGGUAGCUGCCCCGCACUCAGGGAUAACAUCUAGAAAUAGAUGCUAAUACCGGAUGGCCCCGAAAGGGUAAAGAUUUAUCGGUGCGGGAGGCGCCUGCGGCCUAUCAGCUUGUUGGUGAGGUAACGGCUCACCAAGGCUAUGACGGGUAACUGGUCUGAGAGGACGACCAGUCAGAAUGGGACUGAGACACGGCCCAUACUCC